ACCCGCUGGAAUUAAGCAUAUCAAUAAGCGGAGGAAAAGAAACCAACAGGGAUUGCCCCAGUAACGGCGAGUGAAGCGGCAAGAGCUCAAAUUUGAAAGCUGGCUCCUUCGGGGCCCGCAUUGUAAUUUGCAGAGGAUGCUUCGGGAGCGGCCCCCAUCUAAGUGCCCUGGAACGGGCCGUCAUAGAGGGUGAGAAUCCCGUAUGGGAUGGGGUGUCCGCGCCCGUGUGAAGCUCCUUCGACGAGUCGAGUUGUUUGGGAAUGCAGCUCUAAAUGGGUGGUAAAUUUCAUCUAAAGCUAAAUAUUGGCCGGAGACCGAUAGCGCACAAGUAGAGUGAUCGAAAGAUGAAAAGCACUUUGAAAAGAGAGUUAAAAAGCACGUGAAAUUGUUGAAAGGGAAGCGUUUGCGACCAGACUCGCCCGUGGGGUUCAGCCGGCACUCGUGCCGGUGUACUUCCCCGCGGGCGGGCCAGCGUCGGUUUGGGCGGCCGGUCAAAGGCCCUCGGAAUGUAACGCCUCUCGGGGCGUCUUAUAGCCGAGGGUGCCAUGCGGCCUGCCCGGACCGAGGAACGCGCUUCGGCUCGGACGCUGGCAUAAUGGUCGUAAACGACC
rnacentral:rRNA from 1 species